UACGGGGGGGGCAAGCGUUGUUCGGAAUUACUGGGCGUAAAGGGCUCGUAGGCGGCCAACUAAGUCAGACGUGAAAUCCCUCGGCUUAACCGGGGAACUGCGUCUGAUACUGGAUGGCUUGAGUUUGGGAGAGGGAUGCGGAAUUCCAGGUGUAGCGGUGAAAUUCGUAGAUAUUGGGAAGAACACCGGUGGCGAAGGCGGCCAUCUGGACCGCAACUGACGCUGAGGCGCGAAAGCGUGGGGAGCAAACAGG
rnacentral:rRNA from 1 species